rnacentral:lncRNA from 1 species
UCUAUAUGUUUUAAAAACUGAUUUCAUACUUGUAUUUACAAUUUCAAUCCAACACUUUAGGAUUCAUUCUAUAUUUGUAAUUCUUUUUUCUAGCAGUGAAAAUCCAGACUUUUGUUGUUCUUAACAUACUUAUUUGGCCCAUUCUUCUGUGUGUUGCCAAUAUUCCAUAACCACUUCUGGUCUCUCACCCCUACCCUCCACAGAAGCUCCCUUCUCUCUCUGAUGUCCCCUGCUGAGCUGCCUUGUCCCCCGAUGUUGCACAAUGUUCACUUGCUUGACUCUACCUAAUGGUUGAUGGACCAAGUUAUUUAAGAACGGAAGGGAAGGGAAAAUAAAGGAUACCUUCAAAAUAAAGGUAUAAACUCAAUGUUGGUGAACAGGAAUACUCUUUUCCUUUUGCUUCGGCAGUGCUGGAGAUUGAACCCAGAGCCUCGUGUGUGCUGAACUACAUCCUUACUCUUCAUUGAGUUGAAUUGACUGGACAUUUCUCCAGUGUGGCUAAAACCCCACCUUUGCCUUCCUGGAGAGGAAUUACAACAGUCAGGAACACCCACCCUCACCCCAGCCCCGCUCAUGGACUGAGAGAAGUCUUCCUGCUGGAGGAUUCUCAGCAUUUCCUUGCUCCUCUACCCCAUCAGAAUAAAUCACUUGGUGGAAGGAAGUGGGUCCAUUGAACUUCCCAUUUCCAAUGAGUUUGUUUUCAGUACCAGGUCCUCUGGGUGAAAAGGGAGGUCAGGUUAGCUUAGCUGGGCUCAAGGUUACCUUAGCUGUGCUUAUGGGUGAGAGCUGUAGAAACCCUUGUGUGGGUUUGUGUCUCAAUGAGAUCAGAUUGACCAUAACUUGGUCCUAAGUUCCUCAUGGAAGGCAUAACUUAGAAAAACAUGUCACACAAAAGGUUGCUGUUUUAACAAGGACUUCUGGAAACACGCAUCCAUGGUUGGGCUGCUACUGGGAGCAGCUGGAGGUAUAGGGAGCCUCUCUGAGGGUCCCAGACACAAACAUAUAAUUAAAUGCUUGUUGUCAUUUAAAAAUGUAUGUGGCACUAUCAGCUUCCUAUGGGAAAACAGAAACCACUCAUUUUUUCAAAGAGAGGGUGUAAAUGCUUAAAAUUAAUUACAGAAGUGAUGGAGGAUGCUGAAAAAACAGAGGACAGGGAGACAAUCAAGUUUAGGAAAACCUUCCUCCUUCCUUAGAGGACGGCAGGGUUCCUAGAGCCUAGAAACCAGGGCCACACAGUUGAAGCUGAAAGGAAAGGGCCUGGUUAGCAGGAUCUUGUUAUUUUUUGGAAAGACCAGCUACUACCUGAGACCCUGACUGAGACAGAGAGACAGGGAGGAAUACUUUAGGUUCUCUGUCCAUUUCAUCCUCCAGACUCCCACUGGUGAUACCCAGUGUUGGAGCCUAGCCAGAAGCCAGACCACGUGGAGACACAUGAGGUCAUCCCCUUUGCUAUACAGAAAAAAAAUCAGUGGACAAGUACAGUAGUGGAUAUGAGGGCAAAUGGACUUAGGACCUGGAAAGGCACUGGCUGGAACCUCCAUUAGGGAGGUCAGGUGAAUGGAUAUGAGGCUAGACCAGAAGUUUCCAGAGAUGGAAGGCCAUUGCUAAACUUCUCUUCCACUCAGGAAAUUUAAUUUGACCCUCAUUUAUUGAACAUCUUAUGUGCUAAGUAUAGAGGUAUAAAGGUUAAGAAGUGAUUUGUGCUGGGCACGGUGGUGCAUGCCUGUAAUGCCAGCGGCUAGGGAGGCUGAGAUAGGAGGACUGCAAGUUCAAAGCCAGCCUCAGCAAUGGUGAGACACGAAGCAACUCAGUG